AUUGAACGCUGGCGGCAUGCUUUACACAUGCAAGUCGAACGGCAGCGCGGGCUUCGGCCUGGCGGCGAGUUGCGAACGGGUGAGUAAUGCAUCGGAACGUGCCCAGUAGUUGGGGAUAGCCCGGCGAAAGCCGGAUUAAUACCGCAUACGACCUGAUGUUGAAAGCGGGGGACCGAAAGUCCUCGCGCGAUUUGAGCGGCCCAUGUCGGAUUAGCUAGUUGGUGGGGUAACGGCUUACCAAGGCGACGAUCCGUAGCUGGUCUGAGAGGACGACCAGCCACACUGGGACUGAGACACGGCCCAGACUCCUACGGGAGGCAGCAGUGGGGAAUUUUGGACAAUGGGGGCAACCCUGAUCCAGCCAUGCCGCGUGAGGGAAGAAGGCCUUCGGGUUGUAAAACGCUUUUGUUCGGGAAGAAAUACUCUGGGCUAAUACCCCGGGGGGAUGACGGUACCGGAAGAAUAAGCACCGGCUAACUACGUG
rnacentral:rRNA from 1 species